rnacentral:rRNA from 1 species
AGUCGAGGGGUAUAUUUCUUCGGAGAUAGAGACCGGCGCACGGGUGCGUAACGCGUAUGCAAUCUACCUUUUACAGAGGGAUAGCCCAGAGAAAUUUGGAUUAAUACCUCAUAGCAUUGCAGAAAGGCAUCUUUCAGCAAUUAAAGUCACAACGGUAAAAGAUGAGCAUGCGUCCCAUUAGCUAGUUGGUAAGGUAACGGCUUACCAAGGCUACGAUGGGUAGGGGUCCUGAGAGGGAGAUCCCCCACACUGGUACUGAGACACGGACCAGACUCCUACGGGAGGCAGCAGUGAGGAAUAUUGGUCAAUGGGCGCAAGCCUGAACCAGCCAUGCCGCGUGCAGGAUGACGGUCCUAUGGAUUGUAAACUGCUUUUGUACGGGAAGAAACAGCGAUUCGUGAAUCGCCUUGACGGUACCGUAAGAAUAAGGAUCGGCUAACUCCGUGCCAGCAGCCGCGGUAAUACGGAGGAUCCAAGCGUUAUCCGGAAUCAUUGGGUUUAAAGGGUCCGUAGGCGGUUUAGUAAGUCAGUGGUGAAAGCCCAUCGCUCAACGGUGGAACGGCCAUUGAUACUGCUAGACUUGAAUUAUUAGGAAGUAACUAGAAUAUGUAGUGUAGCGGUGAAAUGCUUAGAGAUUACAUGGAAUACCAAUUGCGAAGGCAGGUUACUACUAAUGGAUUGACGCUGAUGGACGAAAGCGUGGGUAGCGAACAGGAUUAGAUACCCUGGUAGUCCACGCCGUANACGAUGGAUACUAGCUGUUGGGAGCGAUCUCAGUGGCUAAGCGAAAGUGAUAAGUAUCCCACCUGGGGAGUACGUUCGCAAGAAUGGAACUCAAAGGAAUUGAC